UACGGAGGGUGCGAGCGUUGUCCGGAAUCACUGGGCGCAAAGGGCGCGUAGGCGGCGCGGAUAGUCAGCGGUGAAAGCCCGGAGCUCAACUCCGGGUCGGCCGUCGAUACUUCCGGGCUUGAGCACUGUAGAGGCAGAUGGAAUUCCGGGUGUAGCGGUGGAAUGCGUAGAGAUCCGGAAGAACACCGGUGGCGAAGGCGGUCUGCUGGGCAGUUGCUGACGCUGAUGCGCGACAGCGUGGGGAGCAAACAGG
rnacentral:rRNA from 1 species